GUGGUUGUGGCUCAGUGGCAGAGCGCUUGCCUCACACGUGGGAGACCCUGAGUUUGAUCCUCAGCAUCACG
rnacentral:tRNA from 1 species